GAGUCAGCUUAGCCUAGCGGUUUCAUCGCAAUCCGAGUAAUUGUCAUUUAACUGCUAGUUCCUAGCAGUUUGAGUCCCGCGGGCGCUGCCUGGCUUUUUG
ensembl:vault_RNA Vault Vault RNA